rnacentral:tRNA from 1 species
GGAGAGGUGUCCGAGUGGUUUAAGGUGCAGCUCUCGAAAAGCUGUGUGGGGAAACCCACCGCGAGUUCGAAUCUCGCCCUCUCCGCCA